AACACUGAGUAUUAUUGCUUUUUCAUCUUUACCAUUCUACAUCAUCUCUGCCUCCUUUAUGAUGUGCCCCAGCUGUAUGCGGUGUCAGCAAGCCAUCCAAGCAUGACCUGUCUCCACAUGCAAACCCAGGGGAGGGGGUCUGCAGAAGUGGGGAGGAGGGGUGUAUAGAACGUUCAAUAUUAAUGAGAACUAAGUUAACACAAAGAUGAGACGCAGAACAUAGCAGCCUUGCAGAGCAGAUGUGUCAGAAUAUAAUGGAACUCAGCUCAGUGACAUCCUGCUAAUGGCAGAUUCAAAGGGAAGAGGCCUGAGGGAGUGGAAGCCGGCCAGGAAGACCUGCGUUCUGGUCGCAGUACUAAUGACAUUCAUGAUAAAAUAAAUUGCUUCAUCUCCAGUGGCUUGUUUCCUUAUAAAUAAAAGGGCGAUACUGAGGUCCCUGGAGACAUUCCCUAGGCCUGGUUAUACAAGCUCAGCAGUUUUCUCACCUCCUGGUCCCAGAGGGUGCAGUAUCAUUAACUGAGAAUCAAGACACCAGACAGCAGUUCUGACAGGAAGAGCACACAGUAUUCACUCAUUCAACAAAUAUUUAGUGAGCACGGAUCACAUGCCUAUCAUUGGACUUAAACUUGGUGUGUACAUGGACAUGGAGCUGUUGGCUUCCAUCUUGCAAGCCAUGGAUAGCUGUAAAGGAUGCAGCCAACUUGAAGAAGCAAGCCAGGAAGUAGAGGCUGCUGUUUGGAUGGCCCUGGAUGAGGUCA